GCCUCUGAAGUUUAUUGGUACGACAUCUCUGCCAUAUCAUUUGCACUUGGAAGUUUUACGGAGAAGUCGAGGGUUCGAAUCCCUCCGGAGGCA